rnacentral:lncRNA from 1 species
UUCGCUUUUUUUAUAUAUGUGUGUGUGUGUUUAGUGUUUAGUGUUAGUGUGUUCGUAAGAGAGGGAUCCCAUUUGGAAAAAGCCGGUUUGAGUUAGACGCGUGUCUCUCAGAACGAAAAUAGGCUCUCUCCAAGAGUUUGUUACCUGGACCCAUAAGUUUUAUCAAUUCCUAGUGGAAAGUACCCACUAAUAUUCGAUAAUGGACGUCCCUCUAUCACGUGCAGGCAGUUCCUACACGCGCGUGAUUACUACGCCUUCUACAUAUACACGCAAAAAGAUAGGAUGUAUUUACUCAUAUAUAUAUAUAUAUAUGAGAGACACAACACACAUACACAUACGUUUAAGUAUCGAGUCUUGCAAGCGCGAACGGAUAUAGAGACCGGAGCCGACCGGCAACCGGUGCAGUCCGUUUUAUGCCUUUUCAACGUGAGUUAGUUUAGUAGCAACGUAUCACAACUUUAAAUUUUAAACAACAGUGUUAAUAAAAAAAUAAUAGUAAUAAUAAUAAUAAUAAGAAGAAGAAUAAUAGUUUUAUUACGAUUAGUGAAGGAACGUUCGUUGCAUGCAAAGAGUGAAUGUGAAUGUAAAUGUGAAUGUGAAUGUGAGUGAA